ensembl:lncRNA
AUGGCAGCAGAGGAGCGGGACAUACUGUGCUCUGGGAUGUUUACAGAGGCAGCAGGGUAACCUUCCCCAAAGGAACAAGACAUGACAGAAUGUCUUCAGAAGUUACAUCCAUUAUAAAGCAGUAAAUAUUUAUGCAUGCUGUGUGCUCUCGGGUGGGCAGGCAGCCUGGCUUGGUACAGGCCGAGAAAUAACCCAGUAAGGAGCCGCAGGCAGGACUAACACUCAGCCCAUAUUUUAUGGUUUUGUGUCAUACCAGCAUGACUCAAAGCCUGUUAACAGAUCCUUUAUUGGGAUUUUAAGUGGUGAUGCACUAUAGUUGGUCCUGAUCCUUGGCUGGCAGACGAAAGGACAUUUAAUUUCCCAGUUGAGAAAAGCAGCUAAGGACAGAACAGCUUUCUGACUGUAGUGUUGACAUCUGAUAUUCAGCAAGUAUACCACCAGUAGUUCCUGCUGACCUCAAGCACAGCCUUCCUUCUCAAACUGCACAUCUAAUGAAGCACAGUAUUAAGAGAGGUUCGUUUCUGAAUGUGGGAAGAAGCAAAGAAAAACCAGGAGCUUCACUUGAAAAAUGGAGGCUUGUUGUCAGAGAUCUCCUGUACAGCUGGUAGGGGAACAUAUUUAUGUCCUCUGGAUACAACGAGCCUGCAGGAGAGAACCAGUGGCUGUUCCUUUGCAGAGAGAUCCAUCUGCUCAUGGGGGCAGACAGGCUGGGGAAGGGCAGCCUCCUCAUACAGCCCUCUGAACAUGCAUGUGGGCACACACACAUUCACACACAGGCUUUGCCUUUCCCUGCGUCCUGAAGAUUCAGCUGAUGCUUUCAGGAGUUUAUGUAACACCAUCAUUGCUGGUUAACGCAUUG